GCGAGGAAGGGCUCUUAACGCAGAAGGGCCUGAUUGUGACCCUCCCAAAGGAUACUAUUCGGGCCAGCCUGCAAACUCUUCUUGGUAGAAAUGGCUACUAACGAUUACUCUUCCAGAAGCCCGUGGUUCUCAGUGAUGGCCCUUAGGCCAACGCCUGCACCUUACAGGGAGCCUAUGUGGAGUUCACCACCCACCUUAGGUCUCAAAGUCAGCCUGCGAGCUCAACAAAGACCCCCGUGCCGGCCGCACUCAGCUUGAAGCAGUGUGGGGCUCCUCCCUGCCACGGCUUUGACUUUGCCGGGUGAGCAGGAGGGCUGUGGGGACAAAGGAGUUGCGAGUGUCCGCGGCCAGCUCGUGGGAGACUCCCUGGGCAGUCCUGGAACCCGAGAGAGGCCGGCAGAGCGGAAGGGAAGCGCAUGGGGAACGCAGCCCUCCUGCCCUGAGCUAUGGGGUCGUCCCAGCCUGUGCGACAGGACCACCGCUCCCAGCCCGGGGCCGCUUCCAGCUGUUCUUUCUCAUCUGCUGGCCUCAGUUUACCCAAAACCGCAUUGGCUCAAGGCUUGAACCCGGUACCCGUACCCAGCGGGGUCUCCCAGAACUACAAGGCAGCCCGGCCCAGGAAGCUGCUCCUUAAAAGACCGAAGCCUUUCUGUUAUGUUAGGAAUCCGGAAUGGGAGGAAAAACUGCACCAGCCACUGACCGCCCUCCUGGAAGGGCCCUCAUUUCAGAGAAAUCGAAACUUAGGAAAACAGCUCCACCCAUCUGCUGAGGUCACUUUGUUCCUCUGAGCCCCACUCAGCGCGUAUUUAUCGCCCUGGGUGCUCCUAGCCGGGACCCGGGACUCAUGACCAGUCUAACUGAUCUCCAGGCCACACACUUCCGGUUGCAGAAGACAAGAGGACUCCGCACCCAGGCUUUCUGUCCUGCUCUCUUCUCCCUCCUCUGCAAGAAUGCUCAGGCUGAAUUUUCUCCGUGUUGAUUUUGCAAGGAGGAAAAGGAUGGAAAAGAACGAAUGUCAGUCUUAACCCCAUAUCUGCAGGCUGGACCCCAGGAGAUGGGAGAAUACACAGAGGUGUUGCUGCAGAAUCUGUAUCCAACCGGAUGGGAAAAGCUCUGCACCAAGGAGUUGGAAGGCAAUUUUAUUGACACCGGCAGGCUGAUGGGAGCUUGGUCCAAACCAUCAGUCCUGCCUCAGGGUGAACUAGCAACUUAUUUUGUACAUUUCCUAAGCAGAAAGUACAGAGUCCCUACGGGUUAGUUUAUAAUUGGCUACAUAUAUGUAACCAUACGUUGUCAGGCAGAUGUGCUGGGCAGGUUUAAUUGGAAGAGGUCGUUUAUCAUGAGGCAGGAAGAUCUGGGGGAAGUCAGGGUCCAGGCAAGCAGGGAAGAUCUGGUGUGACCUUGACAGAGCUGGCCUGCCCUGGGCAGAUAGUCCCUGAAACAGGCUCUGGAAACGGGACAUGUGGGGGCUAACUGCAGCUGGCGGAUAGAGGGAGUCCGAUUAUCUCUUGAGUUGCAGCUGUGUAGUCAAGGCCGGCUGAGUCUGAUGGCCCAAUUAUGAAGCUGUAGUUUUAAAAUUUUCUGUGACAUUUUAUUUCCCAUUACAGUGUGAGGGAACAACUGACAACUGCUCAGUGAGACAGAGAGAGAAGGCAAAAUGAUUUCCGUUUUUCUUUUAUCCCAAGUCUAACUUUUACUUCAGUUUCCCUCCAGGCCUCCGAAGCAGUCUCCUCUGCUCUGUGUUAUCGGAGGCUUCUUGGCUGUGACAGACAUCUCAGGGCCGGGCGGCUUCUUGUCGCAUCUGAAACGUUUGGCCGGGGAACUCCCACAGCCACAGAAGGUUCCGGAUGAAACUGAUGCUGCCAGUCCACCAACCACUCUCGGAGAAGCCGGUUCCCAAAGGAUUUCCAACAUUUACCUCGUCCUAAGAGCUCUGGUCUGCAAAGCAAGGGGCCUCUGAAAGGCAGGUACUGCCUAGACUGGUAAUCUCUGUAAUCGGCUCAAGCUUUUGUUCUGCUCCACCUUCCGCAAUCACCUUGAAAAUUACCACGAAGGUCACGCAAGGGAGCCACAGACGGGCGACUCCAGCUAAUUCCUGCAGGAACAGAACGAGGCUCCUGUCCCUCCACACUGCGCAUCGACUUCCACCCCAUCGGCUUGUUGAAAUGACCUUUGUAUUACUGACCCCUCAGUUUCUGAAUUUCCAUCCAUGACUGAAACCAAAAGAGCAAUUUAUUCCUGUGCAAUUUUUUUGUUUUUUAAAAUAUUUCUUGGGCCGGGGAUGUAGCUCCACGGCAUCGUGCCUGCCUGGCAAGCAUGAGGUUGUGAGUUCGAUUCCCUGUACCAAAAAAAGAAAAAAAAAUCAGCACGUCACCUCCCAACUCCACUUCUGCGGCUCUGCCGUUUCUCCUCCACUCUUCUCCGAUGCGCUGCCCGCCGCCACCUCCACUGCAUUUCAAGCGGACGUCUGGGCUCCGCGUCUCCGAACGCCUGUUAAGCAGUCACCUGUCCUCCAGUGAGGCGUAUGCCCCUCGCGGGGUCUCCCAUCUCUGCCCACAGCAACUCCGGCUUUCUCCUUGCGCAACCCCAAGUCCUGGCUGAGCUCCUGACCCCUUGGUCACACUCACUUGCUGUCCUCCUCCAGAUGGACCGGGAUCCAGGCACGCUCGCCACGCCCCUGCUCGCAGCCCAAGGAGGGGAGAUGCACCCCAGCCGGAAGGCCGGAUGGUUCCCUGCAGUCAUCCCAGCCGCUGCGUGGGUCUUUCCAUCUUGUUUGAGAUACAAAUAUUUUUUGAUUGGUUUGUAUUUCGCUAACCACUCUAAUAACCCCUUACUCUCAGGACUGGCUUGGUCAACUAGGGGACAGAGACACACAGGCUGUGAAAGACUCACACCAGGGAAAAGGUUCUGGGGUAGGAGAUAAUUGCUAACCAAGUUUUCCUCAAUUACAGUCCUGCGAGCCAAAAGGCUAAAAAUAACUACAAGAAGGGAAAGCAGGGAAGUAACAGGUGCAGGCCCAGAUACAUAGCUUGGGACAACCUGAGCUCUAGAUCGCUGGCCACGGGGGUGGGGGCUCCUGCAAGUGAGGGGUGGACGCACGUGUCUUCGACUGUGGGCGCCUGGCUCACUCGGGCGCCGCUCCUGCAAGAGCAUGGAUUAAAGCCUCCUUCUCGCUGC